GAGAGAGGCCUGCGGCAACGGGAACUGCUAAUUCCCCCAUUCGUAGUUGGAAUCUACGGCUCUGCUC
rnacentral:tRNA from 1 species